rnacentral:lncRNA from 1 species
UUGUCAUGUAGCAUGUUGGCAAGUUUCUGACUUGGAUGGAGCCCAGAAACAUAUGCGGGUACACCAGCUUCCUCCCACUCUUUGGCCAGACUUUCUUUGGUCCAUUGGUACAUCUUGUUUUGAGCAAGGCCAGGUAGCAUGUCUGGUUGUUUGACAAGGAGGAACAUCAUGUAGUUUGAUAAUGCUUUGACAGCUUCCUUCACAGCAUCUUGAUCGUCGGCCUUGCGCUGAGCAAUAAAGAUGUCAGUGGCGAUGUGCCAGACGAUAAUACCCUCGUGGAGCUCAGCACCAAGCCUCUUCUCGAGGUAUUCCUUGUACUCGUCAUCAACUUGUUUAUCCUCCAACCAACGCUUUAUUGCCACCUUUCCCCAUUGCUCCCUAAAAAUUCCUAGUGUAUUCACGGUCCUGUCCUUGAUCAUGAAUUUUAUAUACUCAAUUACCAUGUCCUUGAGUCCCUUUGGAAUGUCAGCUGUCACCACGUUGUAGCUCAAUUCUUCUGCCAGUCUUCCGAAGCCCAACAUCUCUGCCAAUCUGCUGAAGCCUAGCUUCUUGGACAGUCUGCUGAAGACUAGCCUCACUACCAGUUUGCCAAGUAGAGGAGGCCUGGCAGUGCAGGCAUCCAACAUGUUGUAUUGCCCCAGGGUACCUGACCACCUCCUUGACAAGCUCAAGUAACUCCAAAUCCCUGUGCUACAGGCAAGCCGGCGAAAGGAGAGGACCAUAUUGCGAAGGCAGUGCCACUUCUUAGAGCACAAGGCUGCAUGUCGAAGGCUGGUCCACCGCGUUGCAC